GCCGCGGUAAUUCCAGCUCCAAUAGCGUAUAUUAAAGUUGUUGCAGUUAAAAAGCUCGUAGUUGAAUUUCGAGAUCAGUACGCUGGUCGUACCUUCGGUACUAUGCACUGGUGUCACUGGUUUCUCCCUUCUGAAGAACCGUAAUGCCAUUCAGUUGGUGUGGCGGGGAAUCAGGAUUGUUACUUUGAAAAAAUUAGAGUGUUUAAAGCAGGCUCGCGCUUGAAUACAUUAGCAUGGAAUAAUGAAAUAGGGCGUUUGAUCCUAUUUUAUUGGUUUCUGGGAUCGACGUAAUGAUUAAUAGGGAUAGUUGGGGGCAUUAGUAUUCAAUUGUCAGAGGUGAAAUUCUUGGAUUUAUUGAAGACUAACUACUGCGAAAGCAUUUGCCAAGGAUGUUUUCAUUAAUCAAGAACGAAAGUUAGGGGAUCGAAGACGAUCAGAUACCGUCGUAGUCUUAACCAUAAACUAUGCCGACUAGGGAUCGGAUGAUGUUAAUUUUUUAAUGACUCA
rnacentral:rRNA from 1 species